GCCGGGGUGGCCGAGCGGCCUAAGGCGCGGGACUCGAGAGUAGAAAUCCGGGCCAUCCCGUCCCCGUCUAGGGGGCGUGGGUUCAAAUCCCACCCCCGGCGCCA
rnacentral:tRNA from 1 species